rnacentral:rRNA from 1 species
AGCGGAGGAAAAGAAACCAACAGGGAUUGCCCUAGUAACGGCGAGUGAACAGGCAAGAGCUCAGAUUUGAAAGGCACUUUUGUGCCGUUGUAUUCUGAAGUUAGGGUCCUGAGAAACGAUGCUUAAGUCUUCUGGAAAGGAGCGCCAUGGAGGGUGAUAGCCCCGUCUAGCAUUGACCUCAUAUAGGAUCUUAACAUGGAGUCGAGUUGUUUGGGAAUGCAGCUCAAAUGGGUGGUAUGCUCCAUCUAAAGCUAAAUAUCUGCGAGAGACCGAUAGUAAACAAGUACUGUGAGGGAAAGAUGAAAAGAACUUUGAAAAGAGAGUGAAAAAGUACGUGAAAUUGUUGAAAUGGAAGGGUAGGCCGCUAACCAUGUAGAGCCGUGUUUGGGGGGAAGAUAAAUGCUGUAGAAUGUAGCUCCUCGGAGUAUUAUAGAUGCAGUUCAUAUUCCCACCCGAGCGCGAGGAUCUCAGGUUCUACUAAAUGGUGGUCUACCACCCGUCUUGAA